UUUUUGGGGAAAUUUUUGGGGAUUUUUUUGGAAAUUUGGGGGUAAAUUCUGUGGAUUUUUGGGUUUUUUGGGGGGGAAUUUUUGGGGGAUUUUUGGGGAUUUUUUCGGGAAUUUUUUGGGAUUUUUUUGGGGAUUUUUCGGGGAAUUUUUGGGGAAUUUUUCGGGUCCAUUUUGUGGAAUUUUGGGGGAGUUUUGGACAAAUUUGGGGGGAAUUUGGGGAAUUUGGGGGAGUCCCAGGUGAGUUCCAGCUGUAUCCAGGUGUCCCCAGCUGUCCCCAGGUGUGUCCAGGUGUAUCUCAGGUGUCCCCAGGUGUCCCCAGGUGUGUCUCAGGUGUGUCCCCAGGUGUGUCCAGGUGUGUCUCAGGUGUGUCCAGGUGUCCCCAGGUGUCCCCAGGUGUCCCCAGGUGUCCCCAGCUGUGUCUCAGCUGCAGGGCCGGAAGGGCCGGGCGGUGACGCCCCCGUGCAGCUCCAGCCCCGCCCUGGCCCAGGCCAGCAGGUCCCCGCGGGCGGGUGACGCACACCUGGCCAGCGCCGCCACCUCGGGCGGGGCCAGGGCGCGGCUCCACAGGUGGAACUCGGCCAAUUCGCCCACGAACGCCUGGGUGGCGUCAAAACGACCCCCGAGGGAGUCCUGGGGGAGAGAGACAGGGGGGAUACACCUGAGGAGGGGUGAAAUACACCUGGGACAGGUGAAAGACACCUGGGGAGGGAUGAAAUACACCUGGGGAGGGGUGAAAUACACCUGGGGAGGGGUAAAAUACACCUGGAGAGGGGUGAAAUACACCUGGGGACACACAGACACACCCGGGGACAGGUAAAAUACACCUGGGGAGGGGUGAAAUACACCCAGAGCACACACAGACACACCUGGGGACACCUGGGACAGGUGAAAUACACCUGGAGACACACAGACACACCUGGGGACACGUGGGGAGGGGUGAAAUACACCUGGAGAGGGGUGAGACACACCUGGGGACACACAGACACACCUGGGGACACACAGACACACCUGGGGACACACAGACACACCUGGGGAGGGGUAAAACACACCUGGGACACACCUAAACACACCUGGAGUUCACCCAGACACACCUGAACUCACACCUGAACUCACACCUGAACUCACACCUGAACUCACACCUGAACUCACACCUGAACU
rnacentral:lncRNA from 1 species